rnacentral:rRNA from 1 species
UGGUGGAGUGAUUUGUCUGGUUAAUUCCGUUAACGAACGAGACCUCGACCUGCUAAAUAGUUCAGUGAACUCCUUGGGGUUCAUGUGAUACUUCUUAGAGGGACUAUUGGUACUUAGCCAAUGGAAGUUCGAGGCAAUAACA